rnacentral:rRNA from 1 species
UACGUAGGGACCAAGCGUUGUUCGGAUUUACUGGGCGUAAAGGGCGCGUAGGCGGCGAAUCAAGUCAGCUGUGAAAUCUCCGAGCUUAACUCGGAACGGUCAGCUGAUACUGUUUUGCUAGAGUGCAGAAAGGGCAACCGGAAUUCUUGGUGUAGCGGUGAAAUGCGCAGAUAUCAGGAGGAACACCGGUGGCGAAGGCGGAUCUCUGGGCCAUUACUGACGCUGAGGAGCGAAAGCGUGGGGAGCGAACAGG